UGGGGAAUAUUGGACAAUGGGGGAAACCCUGAUCCAGUGACGCCGCGUGAGUGAAGAAGUAUUUCGGUAUGUAAAGCUCUAUCAGCAGGGAAGAAAAUGACGGUACCUGACUAAGAAGCCCCGGCUAACUACGUGCCAGCAGCCGCGGUAAUACGUAGGGGGCAAGCGUUAUCCGGAUUUACUGGGUGUAAAGGGAGCGCAGUCGGCGAAGCAAGUCUGAAGUGAAAUGCAUGGGCUCAACCCAUGAAUUGCUUUGGAAACUGUUUGGCUUGAGUGUCGGAGGGGUAAGCGGAAUUCCUAGUGUAGCGGUGAAAUGCGUAGAUAUUAGGAGGAACACCGGAGGCGAAGGCGGCUUACUGGACGACAACUGACGUUGAGGCUCGAAGGCGUGGGGAGCAAACAGGAUUAGAUACCCUGGUAGUCCACGCAGUAAACGAUGAAUACUUGGUGUCGGGGAGGUAAACUUUUCGGUGCCGCAAGCAAACGCAUUAAGUAUUCCACCUGGGGAGUACGUUCGCAAGAAUG
rnacentral:rRNA from 1 species